rnacentral:lncRNA from 1 species
UUUUCUGUACCAUACAACUUUAUUUCAAAUUCACAUCUUUCUAGGCAAUGUAUCCAAAAUAUUUGACUCAAGCGUACCUUUGGACUGUAAAUAUUCUGAAACAGGGCAUCGAGCCUUUCCUAUGUCCAAAAAACCUUAAGUUUUAGCACAUGUUAUAAAAAGUAACCAUGUGGAAUGUGACAAGUCAUAAUGUGAAACCAAAGUGCUUUAGUCCUGCAGCGCAGACAGACACUAGCGGUUAUCUAGCCAUUUGUCAAUAUAUCACAAACACCAAAAGAGACAUUUGCUCUGUUGCCCUCCCCCCCCCAUUCCCCCCCCCUUGCAAAGACCUCUGGACCGUUAUGGUGAAAUUUCAUUAACUGACAACUAAACAGUAUCAGUGGAUCAACAGUUUCACUUUGAUACUUCAUAUUGAGUUAUAAAUGAGGCAUCUUCUUACCAUUUUCCAAGUUCCCUUAGUGAUUACCGAAGUACCACUGCUAUUAUGCAAGAUAAAACUGUGUUCCAGUUAGCUUUUUAAAAUUGAAAGUGUGCUAUAUUCCAAAUCCCAAAGCAUUGAAACCCUCAAAUUAUUUCCCCAGGCCCCAACAGCUAUCUAAGACUCAGUAUUUUUGUGCAAUGCUUUGCUAUUUGCAUGUGAUGAGAUUAACACUUCACACAAGAGCUCAUAUGAAAGAACUAUAAACUCUCAAAGCAGAAAAUUAGCUUAAUAAGGUUUGGAGAAAGGUAGUUGCAUGGAAUGUGUGCUCAAUUCAGAAGUGGCCAUGCUGAAGAGAGCUCGUUGCAAGUGUCCAGUCAGGAAACCUCCUUUCUACAGAAGUCUGAACUGCUAUUUAUCUUCCAGAGUGAAGGAAGUUUAAGACUUAGGCAUUUAAUUCUCUUAUUUGUUACAAAUGAAUUAGCUCUAUAAUAUAAUUCGUAUGAUUAUUACCCCCCUUUCAGACACCCCAUUGUUGUGUAAGUUUACAGCUUCAUUGGGAAAGACUGAGGGAACAUUUCUGGUCCUGUCCUACAGAUGUAAAGACAAAGUGCUUUGCAAGACUGAUUUUACCCAUCACAUUUGUGGCAACCAACCCAAAAUGAAGGCACAUGAAAUCUAUAAUAAUAUAGCUUAUAAACUGUAAACUAAAGCUGAACCUCUGUAUAAUUCCUAAUCUUUCUGCACAAAAGUAACGACCAGCACCCAUGCAGAGAUUCAUUUUUUUUCUCAUGUAACUUUUCCCAGAAAUAGCUAAGUGUCACUUGCAUGCCUAUGCAAAUAGUGUCACUCAUUAGGUUUUGACACAAAGAGCAGGAAUUGGUAAUCUAUCUACAUGGAAAGUCUGAAACCAAUGAAUCACUAUCACUCCCUUCCCUUGCCGCUACAAGAAAUGUAAGCCACCAGCAACAGCUACAGACAGCUGUUACCUUGAAAGUGCUCAACACCCAGCA